UUUGAACGCUGGCGGCAUGCCUUACACAUGCAAGUCGAACGGUAACAGGUCUUCGGAUGCUGACGAGUGGCGAACGGGUGAGUAAUACAUCGGAACGUGCCCGAUCGUGGGGGAUAACGAAGCGAAAGCUUUGCUAAUACCGCAUAAGAUCUACGGAUGAAAGCAGGGGACCGCAAGGCCUUGCGCGAACGGAGAGGCCGAUGGCAGAUUAGGUAGUUGGUGGGAUAAAAGCUUACCAAGCCGACGAUCUGUAGCUGGUCUGAGAGGACGACCAGCCACACUGGGACUGAGACACGGCCCAGACUCCUACGGGAGGCAGCAGUGGGGAAUUUUGGACAAUGGGCGAAAGCCUGAUCCAGCCAUGCCGCGUGCAGGAUGAAGGCCUUCGGGUUGUAAACUGCUUUUGUACGGAACGAAAAGACUCUGGUUAAUACCUGGGGUCCAUGACGGUACCGUAAGAAUAAGCACCGGCUAACUACGUG
rnacentral:rRNA from 1 species